CAAUGUGGUUGCAUGUGCACAUCACGUGUCAAAAUAUUCAUUUACCUUUCCUCACUGGCAUUCUCUCACCCUCACCGACCGGCUACUUCAAUUCCCAGUUCCAACUGUGCCCUCUUUAGCACACACUUCGCCUCAACGUCGCCGGAACUCAGAUUUGGUCAUCGGGAAUCGGUAUCACUCAUAUCCUUAAUUCAAGAAAUGUAUAACAAUGUUGGAGUCCAGCCUGGGGCGCCAAUGCCUCCAACAAAUCCUCAGCCUAAUCCAU
rnacentral:misc_RNA from 1 species